UACAGAGGUCUCAAGCGUUGUUCGGAUUCAUUGGGCGUAAAGGGUGCGUAGGCGGCGCGGUAAGUCGGAUGUGAAAUCUCGGAGCUUAACUCCGAAACUGCAUUCGAUACUGCCGUGCUUGAGGACUGGAGAGGAGACUGGAAUUUACGGUGUAGCGGUGAAAUGCGUAGAUAUCAGGAGGAACACCGGUGGCGAAGGCGGGUCUCUGGGCCGAUACUGACGCUGAGGAGCGAAAGCGUGGGGAGCAAACAGG
rnacentral:rRNA from 1 species